GCUUUUGCCAUUUAAAUCGAAAAAUAAUGGAAAACAGUGAUUUUAAUGCAUCAUUCGGACUACAAUGGUAUUAGUUUAAAACAUGGUACUCAUAUCAAACAAUUGGAGCUUUUGCCAUUUAAAUCGAAAAAUAAUGGAAAACAGUGAUUUUAAUGCAUCAUUCGGACUACAAUGGUAUUAGUUUAAAACAUGGUACUCAUAUCAAACAAUUGGAGCUUUUGCCAUUUAAAUCGAAAAAUAAUGGAAAACAGUGAUUUUAAUGCAUCAUUCGGACUACAAUGGUAUUAGUUUAAAGCAUGGUACUCAUAUCAAACAAUUGGAGCUUUUGCCAUUUAAAUCGAAAAAUAAUGGAAAACAGUGAUUUUAAUGCAUCAUUCGGACUACAAUGGUAUUAGUUUAAAACAUGGUACUCAUAUCAAACAAUUGGAGCUUUUGCCAUUUAAAUCGAAAAAUAAUGGAAAACAGUGAUUUUAAUGCAUCAUUCGGACUACAAUGGUAUUACUUUGUAACGCAGUUUUCAUAUUAAACAAUUGAAACUGUCGCCAUUUAAUUCAAAAAAUAAUGGAAAACAGAGAUUUUAUUGCAUCGUACGAACUAUAAUGGAAUGAGUCUUUUAACAAUUGAUAGUCCUUUUUAAAUAUUUUAUUUUGUGUAAAUGUACUGUUUUAAAUUUUAUUUUGAAAUAAAAAAAACAUAAUAUUUUCUAAUACAUUUGAAAAAUAUUCCAUCAU